rnacentral:rRNA from 1 species
CCUACGGGUGGCAGCAGUGGGGAAUAUUGCACAAUGGGGGAAACCCUGAUGCAGCGACGCCGCGUGAGUGAAGAAGGUUUUCGGUACGUAAAGCUCUAUCAGCAGGGAAGAAAAGGACGGUACCUGACUAAGAAUCCACGGCUCACUACGUGCCAGCAGCCUCGGUAAUACGUCGGGGGCAAGCGUUAUCCGGAUUUACUGGGUGUAAAGGGAGCGUAGACGGCAGCGCAAGUCUGGAGUGAAAUCCCAGGGCUUAACCAUGGAACUGCGUUGGAAACUGUGAAGCUGGAGUGCAGGAGAGGUAAGCGGAAUUCGUAGUGUAGCGGUGAAAUGCGUAGAUAUCAGGAGGAACACCAGUGGCGAAGGCGGCUUACUGGACUGUAACUGACAUUGAGGCUCGAAAGCGUGGGGAGCAAACAGGAUUAGAUACCCCUGUAGUC